rnacentral:rRNA from 1 species
AUGGCUCAGAACGAACGCUGGCGGCGCGUCUUAAGCAUGCAAGUCGAACGGCAAGAGGUAGCAAUACCUCCUAGAGUGGCGGACUGGUGAGUAACACGUGGGUGACAUACCCUUCAGAUGGGGAUAGCUAUUAGAAAUAGUAGAUAAUACCGAAUACGAGCACAGGGGUUAGAGAUCUGUGAGGAAAGGAGCUAAGGCUCCGCUGAAGGAAUGGCCUGCGGCCCAUUAGCUAGUUGGUGAGGUAAGAGCCCACCAAGGCGAUGAUGGGUAUCCGGCCUUAGAGGGUGAACGGACACAUUGGGACUGAGAUACGGCCCAGACUCCUACGGGAGGCAGCAGCUAAGAAUAUUCCGCAAUGGACGAAAGUCUGACGGAGCGACGCCGCGUGGAUGAAGAAGGCCGGAAGGUUGUAAAAUCCUUUUGAAACUGAAGAAUAAGCGUUGUAGGGAAUGACAGCGUGGUGACAGUAGGUUUUGAAUAAGCAACGGCUAAUUACGUGCCAGCAGCCGC